UUUCCGUAGGUGAACCUGCGGAAGGAUCAUUAUUGAAAAACCUAUAUGCGAGGGCUUUCACUGACACGAAACUUCGGUCACACCCGAGCGGCCUUACACACAACCAUGUCACCCCUAUAUCCACUACCUCAUCUGUCUCCCUGUAGCCUGUUAGGAGGAGGCAUUACGAUUACACAUAAAAUUUGUAGGCCGUGUAGAAUUUAUUUUGUGGUUUAGCGAAGCAGCAAGCAAGACAACAUUCAACAACGGAACUCAUGGCUCUCGCAUCCAUGAGCAACG
rnacentral:misc_RNA from 1 species